GUGGUUGUGGGGUUGGGGAGGAAGAGGAAACCCUGCAUCAUAUAGACAUAAUCAGAGAAAACACACACACUACAUUUUAUAAAUUCAUCAAUAAGGCCCUGUUGAGAAACUGACAAUAAUGGCCAAUAAAGCUCGGAUAGUUCACAAUUAUGGUGAUCAUGUAGUUAACAAACGCAAUUCUAUUAAUCACAUUAACAUGUUGGUAGAAGGCUACAAUUAGAGCUCAUCCAACAAUUCUAGCGAUCAGCUAGAAUUAUCAUUGAAUUAAUAUAAUGAAUUUAUUUACAGCCACAUCAAUGUAAAGAGGAAAGCUAGUUUUACUUCUAGUGCCAAAAUUCCCAUGAGCAGCACUUUCUACAGAUACAUCUUUAACAGCAAAAUCUGCAGAAAUGAAAAAAGCACAUCAUUUGACUUGUUAUUGAACUUUUUUCUAUUUAAAUAAAUUCAAAAUCAUCAUAUCUAGUUGAGCAUGCUGGAACUAUAGGCGUUGUUACCCAAGGCUACCAUCAAAACGUUUCAUCCUAAAUUUCAAUUUUUAGAAUGAUGUUGGGACAUCUAAUAAAAAAAUUUGGAACGAUACAGAGAAGAUUACAAAUGCAUACCUUUUUGAAGAACAAAAUACUAACUCAUUCACAUUUUAUUUGAUUUUGGGGUUGUGCAAAAAAAUCUUUGGCAUUGUGAGCCACCUCAGCCUCCAAUACAGCUUCCAGCAAAAUGUCAGAUCCUCUCACAUCAUCUGUCAACACAUCAAUUUACUUAUUUAAACAUUAAAUAACAGACACCAGGGCAACAAUACUUUAUGAACAAGACAUGACUAAUAAUUCUAUUACACAUAUCAAUUAAAUGCAACCAACGAAAACUUUUAAUGAAAAUGCUGUGAAUAUAAGUAUGAAUUGGAGGCACAUGCAACAUUAAAAUGCCAGUGAUAAUACACCACCAUCUACAAAAGGAAGACAACAACAUAAGCCAGACAGCACUUGACGAUCAAAAACAGCUACGGACUUGAUUUAACUAGAUCCAUAAUUUAACUUGUGAAUAAAAAAAAUGUCAUGUAUUAUUCAUUUAUAUUUCAAGCCACAAUAUUCUGCUGUAUAUCAGGAACCUACAUGAUUAAAUAAGUUCAUAGUUAAUUAGGAAGAACACAAUAAGAAAAUCAAUAGGUUUUGAUUUAAUCUGAUUGCAAUUUCAGCAUUCCAAACAUAAACAAAGAUAGUUUUAGUUUUCACAUUUUCAUUGAUCACUCAAAGCAUUGACCAUAAUAUUUGUAAAUUUAAACACAGUACUUAAAACAUCAAACAAUAACUACUCUUAAGACCUUGAAGAAAUGAAUUCACUUUUUUUCUUUUUUUUUGCUCCUUUUUCUUCCCCCAUCCAAGAUUGGCAAUUUUGACUCUGCCGCAACGUAAAACACCCACACACUUGUAAACCAAAUGAGAAAUUGGCCAAUAGAUAGCAGAUAGCAAUUGGAUUUAUGGGAGUUAACUUGAAGGAAAAACUUUAUUGGUUUUUCUUUUGGCUUCUUAUUAUUCUACAGAGAAUUGCAGCUGCUGGGGAGAAAGGAAAUAAAAAUGCAACAAGUGUCUUUUUCUUCUUUGGUUUACAUAUAAACACACACGCACGCAAACAGAGAAGGGAAGAGGAAGAGGAAGAGGAAG
rnacentral:misc_RNA from 1 species